rnacentral:rRNA from 1 species
CCUACGGGUGGCAGCAGUGGGGAAUAUUGCGCAAUGGGCGAAAGCCUGACGCAGCGACGCCGCGUGAGGGAUGAAGGUCUUCGGAUCGUAUACCUCUGUCAGCAGGGAAGAACGGUCACCGUGCUAAUCAGCAGUGAAUUGACGGUACCUGCAAAGGAAGCACCGGCUAACUCCGUGCCAGCAGCCGCGGUAAUACGGAGGGUGCGAGCGUUAAUCGGAAUUACUGGGCGUAAAGCGCUCGUAGGCGGUAUGUCAAGUCAAGGGUGAAAUCCCCGCGCUCAACGUGGGAAGUGCCUUUGAAACUGGCAAACUGGAGUGUGUGAGAGGAUAGUGGAAUUCCAGGUGUAGGAGUGAAAGCCGUAGAUAUCUGGAGGAACAUCAGUGGCGAAGGCGACUAUCUGGCACAUAACUGACGCUGAGGAGCGAAAGCGUGGGUAGCGAACAGGAUUAGAUACCCCAGUAGUC